AGUGCAAAUCAUAUCAAGACUAACAAUUUUUUAUUAACAAAAGAAAUGGGUCCAACAUGCUUCCAUACACUAAAUCUGAUUUUUAACCGACAAAACUCCGGCUACCUUCCUGAGGAUUUCUUACUUGGGUGUUGCAGCCUCCAACUAUCAGGGUGACUUCCUUUAAGGGCCAUUUCAGAGUCUUGCAGCAAAAUUUAGUUUCGUUUCCUACCUCUAAGACUCAGAUGUAAAUAUGAAAGUUGUGAAGAAACUUGUUUCUUUUAUUAAUAAAGCAAGUUUAGUACAAGAUAUAGGCUUAGCACAUAAAAGAAAUGGGUCCAACACGCUUCUAUACCUUAAAUCUGAUUUUUGACCGACAAAACUCCGACUACCUCCCUGAGGAUUUCUUACUUGGGUGUUGCAGCCUCCAACUACUAGGGUGACUUCCUUUAAGGGCCAUUUCAGAGUCUUGCAACACAAUUUAGUUUCGUUACCUACCUCUAAG
rnacentral:lncRNA from 1 species